UGUUGUGGUAUCUACCAGUGAUUCCAAGAUUCAAACGUUUGUUUGCAAAUGCAAAGGAUGCGAAGAAUUUGCAAUGGCAUGCUAUUGGCCAAAAGUCAAAAGUUUAGGGAGUUGCAAGCGCGAAAUGAGCAUCCCCACUUUUUAGGACAUAGGGGCUAUGUUGGAAUGCAAGCUGAGUGGAUGAUAUGCGACCCAUUGUCUUCACAGUCUUCUUGUGCUGCUAUUACAUCGACCAUAGCAUCUAAUGAUCGUAGUUUGG